GCAGUUGUGGCGGAAUUGGCAUACGCGCUAGACUAAGGAUCUAGUCCGGGCUAACUGGGUAUGGGUUCAAGUCCCAUCAACUGCA
rnacentral:tRNA from 5 species